CAGGAGGCCUGCCCUGAUGUCCAGGGUAGGCACUCCUUCCCCACUGCCUGCGCUCGGCACUCUCCCUUUCACUCCCAGGGUCUCCCAAAUGGUGUGUGUCCCACGUGAGAUUGCUCACCCAUGAGACUGGGUCACUGCUGGCCUAUUCAGAAGUCUAACAAUAAUAAUUGGUGCUCAGUUAAGGAGAGUGAAGAGUAGGCAAGAUUUCCCAUGACUAGGACACAGAAAAUACAUCCAAGGAGUUCUAACUUAGUUUCUUUUUCUUCUCUUCAUUUGACUGGAAAGGGGCUUAGGCAGGCCAAAAUCCCCAAGCAGACCACACGGGAGGCCACGUGGAUCAGGGCCGUCUCCCUAUGCCCUCCCCCUCCUGGCUGUGGGCUGGUUUAGCUGGCACCCACGGCUGGAAUACCAGACAGUUCUCUCAGUCCCUGCCGUCCCCAGGGGUGCCCAAAAGCUGGGACCUCAGAACCACCUGCUGUCACAUGUAUGUCCCAGCUACGUGUUUGAGCCUUGUCCCUGCUCUGCACAUCCAGACUCAGUGGAGGAACUGCACAGGGGUGGACUUGACCUUCUCCUGCCCUUCAAGGAGAGGAAUCCCUCAACUUCUCACAUGGCCACAGAACCAGCUUUACAGGCCCUGGACUUUGGGUGAACUUCAGCAAGUACACACAGAGAGAACGACUAGAAUCAAGUCAGUUAUGUGGCGACACACUGAAAGCAGACUUCGACUGUACAAACCUGGCCUGGACUUUAUUGACCAGUAACAAGAAGAAUGUCAAGCAACAGUGCUUUCUACAUUUCUGACUGCCUGCUCUUUGCAGUCCCAAUUAAAAGAAUUAAACCUCUCCAAGAAAAUGUCAUCUGCUAAACUCUGGGGACCAGGGAAGAUGGGUGGCCAGGCCAAACACAGCCCCAAGUCUUGCCAGAAUCACUAGGAACCUGAGCCCAGAGCCCUCUCUCUGUUUUUAGUGCUGAUCCUGGUCUUGAUCAGGAUCACUAGGAACAGGGCCAAGUGUCC
rnacentral:lncRNA from 1 species